AAUUCUCAACCAUGUCUUGAUUGACAUGGCUUGGAGUUGGGGGUUGCUGGUAGCGAAAGCUCGUCAGCUCUCCUGAAAUGCAUUAGCGGGUGGACAAGCAAAGCCUUCCGACGUGAUAACGAUCGUCGUGGGGCCACGCAUCGAUGUCUAUCUGCUUCCGAAUCCCCAGAUACCUUAGCUACUAGUCGAAAGACGAACGCAAGGGAUCGUUUCGAAC
rnacentral:misc_RNA from 1 species